AAGGAUCAAAAGCUAACGGAAAGAUUGUGUUGUGACGGACUUGAAAUCAAGAUGUUUUCAUACAGCACUUCUGCAAGAAACCCAAGGCCCCGGAGUCCCCCGUAGGAGAUUGCCGGAGAUACAACCCGAGGUACCUCCUUCCUCCAGUCACUUCAAACGGGUAACUGUGGCUCCGGAUCUGCAGCUUCGGAGAGUGCGAGUCGGUGGAGAUCCUGUGGUGCGUCAGAAAAGAAAGAGAGGAUGAGAUGGAAGGACCAAUGGAAGCAGACCAAGAUAAAGAUGGAAGGACCAAUGGAAGCAGACCGAGAUAAAGAUGGAAGGACCAAUGGAAGCAGACCGAGAUAAAAAUGGAAGGACCAAUGGAAGCAGACUGAGAUAAAGAUGGAAGGACCAAUGGAAGCAGACCGAGAUAAAGAUGGAAGGACCAAUGGAAGCAGACCGAGAUAAAGAAGAGACGAGAGACAAUUGGAGAAACGGAGUGUUUGAUAGGGAUGGAAUUAGCGAGAGAUACAGGAGGGGGGAUAGAGUUAAAGGAGAUAGAGGACAUAGAGAGUUAGAGCAGAGAGAUAUAGGAAACUUAAAAAGUUA